UGCCAGCAGCCGCGGUAAUACGAAGGGUGCUAGCGUUGUUCGGAAUUACUGGGCGUAAAGGGCGCGUAGGCGGAAAUGCAAGCUUGGUGUGAAAUCCCGCAGCUCAACUGCGGAGCCGCGCUGAGAACUGCAUAUCUAGAGUUCAAGAGGGGAAGCUGGAAUUCCAGGUGUAGGGGUGAAAUCUGUAGAGAUCUGGAAGAACAUCAGUGGCGAAGGCGAGCUUCUGGCUAUGAACUGACGCUGAGGCGCGAAAGCGUGGGGAGCGAACAGGAUUAGAUA
rnacentral:rRNA from 1 species